GGUCGCGCUUGGGUUUGGCGUGUAUCUCAUAAGGGUAUAAAAACAGCAGGGACCAAGCGUCUGUCACACCAGUCUCUGUCAAGGUUACUCAACGUUCAGAUCCAACCAUGAAGACCGCAAUUGUUGUUGUAGCUGUAAUGGCUGUUUUUUUCUUCGGUAACGGCUCUGCCGACUGUAGGUGUGAUAUUGACAACGUGGUGGUGUGUGACACGGAAGGGAAUAGCUACCCAAAUGCCUGUGAACUUCGUUGCGAAGGCAAGACGCUCGAUAAAAGCAAGACCUUCAAUAGCAAGUCUGGG